AAAUUGGAGAGUUUGAUCCUGGCUCAGGACGAACGCUGGCGGCAUGCCUAAUACAUGCAAGUCGAGCGGAGUUUUGUUGAAAGCUUGCUUUCAAC
rnacentral:rRNA from 1 species